CUAACAUCUAAUAUUGUGCUACCUCGUUCCAAAUUCCAUGGAAUUAACUAAUUAUUAUGUUUGAUUAAUUAAACAACUACUAAAUCAACUUGUUCGUCGUUAUCAUAUCAUAUCAUAUCAUUAAUUAAUUAAUUAAAAGUCCUUAAGUAAUUUUCGGACUUGUUCCAAUGUAACAAAGAGCACAAUAGUAAAUGGUCCUUGCCUUGAAAUUGUAGGAAUAAAUCCUUUAUACAAUGCCAUUGGCCCCUCAGCUUUAAUUGUUUUCAUUGCACAAUCAAGUGCUCCAUUGUAAGGUGGAGCCGCUCCGGGCUCCACCUUCAUGUUCAUAACUCGAGUCUUGAUCACAUCUACCGGAUUCGUCACUACAGCCGCCACAAAACCCGCGGCAAAACUCG
rnacentral:misc_RNA from 1 species